rnacentral:rRNA from 1 species
UACGUAGGUGGCAAGCGUUGUCCGGAUUUACUGGGCGUAAAGGGCGUGCAGGCGGUUUGUUAAGUCUAGGGUGAAAGCUCCCGGCUCAACUGGGAGAGGUCCUUGGAUACUGGCAAACUUGAGGGAGGCAGAGGAGAGUGGAAUUCCCGGUGUAGUGGUGAAAUGCGUAGAUAUGCGGAGGAACACCGAUGGCGAAGGCAGCCUCCUGGGAUAACACUGACGCUCAUGCACGAAAGCGUGGGGAGCAAACAGG